GACAGAGGGUGCAAACGUUGCUCGGAAUUACUGGGCGUAAAGGGCGUGCAGGCGGUCUGUUAAGUGCAGGGUGAAAGCUCCCGGCUCAACUGGGAGAGGUCCUUGCAUACUGGCGGACUUGAGGGGGGUAGAGGAAAGUGGAAUUCCCGGUGUAGUGGUGAUAUGCGUAGAUAUCGGGAGGAACACCUGUGGCGAAGGCGGCUUUCUGGGCCCUACCUGACGCUGAGACGCGAAAGCGUGGGGAGCGAACCGG
rnacentral:rRNA from 1 species